rnacentral:rRNA from 1 species
GAUGAGCGCUAGCUACAGGCUUAACACAUGCAAGUCGAGGGGAAACGAUAGAGAAAGCUUGCUUUUUCUAGGCGUCGACCGGCGCACGGGUGAGUAACGCGUAUCCAACCUGCCCAUCACUUGGGGAUAACCUUGCGAAAGUAAGACUAAUACCCAAUGAUAUCUCUAGAAGACAUCUGAAGGAGAUUAAAGAUUUAUCGGUGAUGGAUGGGGAUGCGUCUGAUUAGCUUGUUGGCGGGGUAACGGCCCACCAAGGCGACGAUCAGUAGGGGUUCUGAGGGGAAGGUCCCCCACAUUGGAACGGAGACACGGUCCAAACUCCUACGGGAGGCAGCAGUGAGGAAUAUUGGUCAAUGGGCGAGAGCCUGAACCAGCCAAGUAGCGUGCAGGAUGACGGCCCUAUGGGUUGUAAACUGCUUUUAUAAGGGAAUAAAGUGAGUCUCGUGAGGCUUUUUGCAUGUACCUUAUGAAUAAGGACCGGCUAAUUCCGUGCCAGCCGCCGCCGUAACAC